CUAUAACAUAAAUUUCAGUUGACUUGUCAACAAGCUAAAGAUAUUGUAUCUCAUUGUCCUUCCUGUCAACAAGUUAAUUCUACUCCGACAUUGCCCGAAGGUGUUAACCCACAGGGAUUAUUUCCCAAUGAUAUUUGGCAAACUGAUGUAACACAUUUGGCAAUGCUGGAGUAGUCCAUGGGUCUAUUGACACUUAUUUUGGAAUAUGUACAUCACAUCAUACAGGACAAACUGCAAAUCAGUGGGUCUCUCACUUCAAACAAGCUUUGCUCACAUGGGACUCCCUAAACAUAAAAAAUUGGACAAAUAAUCAAACUGCUAAUGAUUUGCUUUCUAAAAAAGUAACCUUACAACAAACUCAACAAGUCUUACGGAAAGACAAUAAGAGUUGGAAAAGGGGAUUUUACUUAAACAAGGAUGAGGUUAUGCUCUUAUUUUAACAGAAGAAGUUGAACAUCGGUGGAUCCCAAAAUGAAAAAUCCGGCCCUGGAAAGAAGAGGACCUACUUUGAUAUAGACCCACUGUUUGACCCCCCGGCUUGGAGCCAUGUCACUGCUGAUCCUUAAUCCUGGACUAUCUCUAUCAAAAAUAACCCAAGAAGCACCUUUGCCAACUUGGGGACAGAUAGAGAAACUAUCUCUAGAGGCAGAGAAGAUGGUACAUAGAAGAAGACUGCCAGAAACACCAGACAACCUGUUCUUGGCUAUGGUCACUUUGCUGACCAUGGCGACUGGAGAAGAACAAUCAAGAGACAACUAAGCCAACAACAGCAACUAGCAUUUCUCACCAUUUCUCAUCAUGUGGAAAAUCAAAAAGGGGGAGAUGUAGGAGACAGGAAGAAUAGAAGAAAAGCAGACCCCGGUGAGGGCCACAGAAGGAAUUUAUAAUUAUUGAUAAACUGGAUGCUUUAAGGCAUGGGACUCUUGGAAUAAGUCCAGAGGGAACAGUUCAUAAUCUUGAAAACAAGAUAUGAUCCUGGGGACGGGAAACCAACCCCAGACUGUUUCCCAACUGGCCUCUCAGAGUCAUAUGUUUUUCGUAUCUGGAGGAAAUCUAUAGAUAAGAAUAUUAGUCUUAGUUACUGAUUUGUUACUGAUUACUGUUUCUUGUUUACCGAAAGGUUAAUGAUCACUUUGUUCUUUGCCCUGAAGGCCACAUGAGUUAUUGCUUAAGCCCCUGCACAUCCCUUCCUUCGCGGCUGAGAGUAUAGCAAAGCCGGCACGGAUUCAGUUUCGGCACCUUCACCUGGGAGCGGUGUUGGUCCCCUGAUCCUCGCCUUUCACUGAACUCUUGUGUCUUGUUUCUCAUUCUCCCGCCCGCAUCACACUUUCGGAAACCCUGCUUGUGGAGCCGGACUCAACAGACUAUAAAGAAAGCUGAGCGCUGAAGAAUUGAUUCUUUUGAACUGUGAUAUUGGAGUAGACUCUUGAGAAUCCCUCGGACUGCAAGGAGAUCCAACCAGUCCAUCCUAAAAGAAAUCAGUCUUGAAUGUUCAUUGGAAGGACUGAUGCUGAAGCUUAAACUCCAAUACUUUGGCCAUCUGAUGCAAAGAACUGACUCGUUGGAAAAGACCCUGAUGCUGGGAAAGAUUCAAGGCGGGAGGAGAAGGGGAGGACAGAGGAUGAGAUAGUUGGAUGGCAUCAUCGACUCAAUGGGCAGGAGUUUCAGUAAACUCCAGGAGUUGGUGAUGGACAGGGAGGCCUGGCUUGCUGCAGUCCAUGGGGUCGCAAAGAGUAGGACACGACUGAGCGACUGAACU
ensembl:lncRNA